rfam:Pteropus alecto contig90696, whole genome shotgun sequence.
UAUGAAUCUAGUGGAAACACUUCUGCACAAACUAGACUAUGGAUACCAGUGUGCAGAAAUGCUUCUGCUACAUUUUUA